GAGAGGUAGGAUUCCUGAUGUAUC
rnacentral:piRNA from 1 species